rnacentral:rRNA from 1 species
CGAGUCCGAGGAGCUAAGGCUCCAAAGUGAUGCGAGUCAGACUUCCCAGAAAAGCCCGAACCACGUUAAUUUCUAAUUACCUGUACCCGAAACCGACACAGGUGGGUAGGUAGAGUAUACUAAGGGGCGCGAGAUAACUCUCUCUAAGGAACUCGGCAAAAUGACUCCGUAACUUCGGGAGAAGGAGUGCCUUAUUUAUAAGGUUGCAAUAACAAGAUCCAAGCAACUGUUUAUCAAAAACACAGGUCUCCGCUAAGUCGUAAGACGAUGUAUGGGGGCUGACGCCUGCCCAGUGCCAGAAGGUUAAAGAAGUUGGUUAGUGUAUGCGAAGCUGAUGACUGAAGCCCUGGUGAACGGCGGCCGUAACGAUAACGGUCCUAAGGUAGCGAAAUUCCUUGUCGGGUAAGUUCCGACCCGCACGAAAGGCGUAAUGAUUUGGAUACUGUCUCGGAGAGAGGCUCGGUGAAAUAGACUUGUCUGUGAAGAUGCGGACUACCUGCACCAGGACAGAAAGACCCUAUGAAGCUUUACUGUAACUUGAAAUUGGAAUUGGACUUUGCUUGCGCAGUAUAGGUGGGAAGCGUUGAAGAUAUUCUUGCGGGAGUAUUGGAGCUAUCAGUGAGAUACCACUCUUGUAAUGUUAGAUUUCUAACUUUGAACCAUAAUCUGGUCAAAGAACAGUUUCAGGUGGGCAGUUUGACUGGGGCGGUCGCCUCCCAAAUGGUAACGGAGGCGUACAAAGGUUUCCUCUGAACGGAUAGAAAUCGUAUCUAGAGUGUAAAGGCAUAAGGAAGCUUGACUGUGAGACCUACAAGUCGAGCAGGGACGAAAGUCGGUCUUAGUGAUCUGACGGUACUGAGUGGAAAGGCCGUCACUCAACGGAUAAAAGUUACUCUAGGAUAACAGGCUGAUCUCCCCCAAGAGUUCACAUCGACGGGGAGGUUUGGCACCUCGAUGUCGGCUCAUCGCAUCCUGGGGCGGUAGUACGUCCCAAGGGUUGGGCUGUUCGCCCAUGAAAGCGGUACGCGAGCUGGGUUCAGAACGUCGUGAGACAGUUCGGUCCAUAUCCGGUGUAGGCGUUAGAAUAUUGAGAGGAGCCUUCUUUAGUACGAGAGGACCGAGAAGGACACACCGCUGGUGUACCAGUUAUCGUGCCAACGGUAAACGCUGGGUAGCUAUGUGUGGAGUGGAUAACCGCUGAAAGCAUCUAAGUGGGAAGCCCACCUCAAGAUGAGUAUUCUC